UGGGAACCCACCCUUAAUAUCUGCAGUCUGCCCCUUCUGUUGCAGAUUCUCAUUGUAGGCACUGUUGUUGUGAAAUAGGCAAAAUUUACCGGAAAAUCCAGGCUCACAGCCCUGUAAUACAAAGGCGGGUGGGUACCACUGCUCAUAUACCUAGUACAACACGAGUACAGGCUUGCAUGAAAAAGGAGCAUAUCCACAACAACCUGAGUAUCCAUGGCAGCAAAACGAGAGAGCCUGGAGGUGGUAGCAUCAGCAUGAGGAGACCAUAUGGCAGCACAAUGACAGAGCCUGGAGGUGGCAGCAUCAGUAUAACAAGACCAUAUGGCAGCACAAUCAGAGAGGCUGGGAGGUGGCAGCAUCAGCAUGAGGAGACCAUGUGGCGGCAUAAGGACAGAGCCUGGAGGUAGCAGCAGCAGCAUGAGGGCCAUACCAACUGAGGGUUGAGUCUGAGGAACCCACCAACUGUUGACUGGGGGUGUCGGAUGUCACUUGGGAUGAAGUGGAUGACCGAGUUAACCAAUCAAUCACGGCUGCUGGGUUGCUGGUCGAGACACGACUGCUAGCUGACACUGGGAGCUCAGACCUCUCGCUGCAACUCCUGCCCUGCUGUGACCUCUGCCUGAGCCUGAUGAAUUUAGGCCUCUGCCACUCCUCUGUACACAUCCUGGCACUUCUCUGCCUGACAUACUUAUACACCAGCUAAGUGCGUAUAUGAUACACUUAUGAAAGAAGGACAAUGCGCUCCACUACUCUUAAAUCUGUAUUAGACUACAGAAACAAGGGUGUAGCUUUGGCUGGCCUUUCACAGUAACUAGGCCCAAAUUAGUUUUUCAGGAAAAAAAAAACAUACACCACGUAGGUGUAUGAAUACUUUACACUUAUGAGAGGAGGACUAUGCACUCCACUACAAACUAUAUAAGGCUACAGAAAAAAGGGAGUAGCUUUGUCUGGCCUUUCACAGUAACUAGGCCAAAAUUAGUUUUUCAGAAUAAAAAAAACUUACACCACGUAGGUGUACGUACAGUUUUCACUUAUGAGAGCUGGACAAUAUGCUCCACUUAAAACUGUAUAAGGCUACAGAAACAAGGGUGUAGCUUUGGCUGGCCUUUCACAGUAACUAGGCCAAAAUUCGUUUUUCAGGAAAAAAAUACGUACACCACCUAUGUACGCACAGGUUACACUUAUGAGAGGACAUUAAGCUCUGCUACGCAACCUGUAUUAGGCACUGUGAUCAGGUGACUAUGAGGGGUAUGUA